GAUGAACGCUGGCGGCGUGCCUAAUACAUGCAAGUCGAGCGAACAGAUGAGGAGCUUGCUCCUCUGACGUUAGCGGCGGACGGGUGAGUAACACGUGGAUAACCUACCUAUAAGACUGGGAUAACUUCGGGAAACCGGAGCUAAUACCGGAUAAUGUAUUGAACCGCAUGGUUCAAUAGUGAAAGACGGUUUUGCUGUCACUUAUAGAUGGAUCCGCGCCGCAUUAGCUAGUUGGUAAGGUAACGGCUUACCAAGGCAACGAUGCGUAGCCGACCUGAGAGGGUGAUCGGCCACACGGGAACUGAGACACGGUCCAGACUCCUACGGGAGGCAGCAGUAGGGAAUCUUCCGCAAUGGGCGAAAGCCUGACGGAGCAACGCCGCGUGAGUGAUGAAGGUCUUCGGAUCGUAAAACUCUGUUAUUAGGGAAGAACAAAUGUGUAAGUAACUAUGCACGUCUUGACGGUACCUAAUCAGAAAGCCACGGCUAACUACGUG
rnacentral:rRNA from 1 species